rnacentral:lncRNA from 1 species
UUGGUAAUGAAAACUUUUAUUGAAAAUGAUGAAGUAGGUCAGUUUUAAAAACUAUGUAUGAAUCUUCAAACAAAUUCUAAUACUGUAACAGUUUAAAACAAACAUUUAAAGUCAAACCUACAGAUCAGAGAAACACAUAGGACUAUUUUUCAUUUAAAAUAAACCGUGUAGAAAACUAGUCUGAGCCAAUACAAUAUAAUUUUAUAAUAAGUGUUUUGAGAAACCUUUACAAUGAAUUGACUCUAAGUAAAUGCUUUAUGUAUGAGAUGAUGCUUACAACAACAUGCAUUAUACUGAAACAUUUCUCUAUUGGGAAGACAAGAAAAAUUUAAAAAAAGACAUCCCUCAUGUUUAAAUGUAUUGUACUUUCACUUGUGCAUAAGGGAGUGCGCAAAUAUUUAGAGCCACACUUGCAUUUGAAAGCUUCAAACAUAUUGGCAAAUACACGUGUACAUCAUGUGGUUCUGUGCAAAGUGCAAUUUUGGGGCAAAUUUCUGAAAGUGUUUAAUCCUCAAAAAUAUUUAACAGAUUUCCAAAGCAAUUACUCCACUUUUAGAAUUUUGCGCUAGAUGUAUUCUGCAUUUCCGUUCAUAGCAAAGCAAUCCAUUAUGAGGCAACCAAAUGCAGAGGAAAUGCUACCUUGGGACUACAUUACAUAGUUAUUUACUAAAGGUAGGAUUCAAAGUAAAUUCAAACAUUAAGACCAGAAAAGCCAGAUUGAAAGCAGAGCUGACUUAGAUAAUUAUUCCAUUUCAACUACUUUGGCCUUGAGUUUGAAAUUCACUUUGAAUUCUCACAUUAGUGAAUUAGCCAGUUUAUCAGAAAUGUCAGUGAUAGUACAACAUAUUUAACAAUGUGAUUUCGGUCUUUUCAUGUUAAUUUCCCUUUAAAUAAAAACAAUAUUACUACCCUCUAAUACUAAUCAGGUGUAUACAUAAAAACAAGAAAAUAGAUUUAGAAGUUAAAAAUAGGUUUUAGCUUUCUAUUUUGCUGUAUCAAAAACACAACAAUACCAAGACAGAUUAAAGUAAAUGUUUCAUUUAACAAUUCACUUUUUAAUUAUGAAUAAUGUUAAAUUGAUCAGUGUUCUUUCAAGUAAAAUUCUAUUGAAGGGCCUAAAAAAAAAAAACACAACACGUGCAGCUGUAGACUGCAUCAUUGUUAUAUUUUUUAUGUCUAUGCAGUAAUACUUAAAAACUAUUUUAAAUAAAAUUAUGAAAACAACAUGAACAUGCAUGCACUUUUGUAAAAAUACUGCAAUUGUGUACAGAACGCAAGUUUGCAGUGUACAUAUUUACCUAUCACUUCGUCACAUGCCUAAAUGUACUAGUCAAUUGCAUAUUAAUUAAAAAAUAAAAUAAAAAGGAAAUUAACACCAUAUACAUGUAAACAGGACGCAGCAGAAACUGAAUAAACUGAAAAUUAAUACUAAGAAAUGGACAAUCAUGACAUUUAAAUAGUAGUAGCUUCAAAGAUGCAAUAGCAUAAAUGUGUAAUUUUAAUAAGCCCAAUGAAUCUUUAACCUUGCCACAAAUUCUUUACGAAUAUGAAGUGGUCGAGUAGAUGUGUUUCAUCGUGCAUGAAAUGGACAGUAUCUAUUUUUAAUCUUCCACUCUACAAAGUCAUGCAGAUCAUUCCUCGCCCCCUUCCCUGUGGAUAUUGCACUUGUCAUUAACAUGAGUUGGCAAAAUCGUGUUUUUUUUUUUUUUAUCUAAAUUGGAUAAUGCACCUUGUUAAAGACUAUAGACAUGUGAUUCAAUGAAAAGGAAAACAAAACAACAAUAAAUCUCAAAUUAGUAUCUGUCUAUGUGAGAGCAAGCAAUUUAUAUUAAGACAACUUUUAUUAUAGUAAGUUAUUUUAAC